GUCUCUCGCUCCCACCAGAGCUUGGAAUCCGUCUCUGCUCUUCUGCAUUCUCCACCUCGGGAGCCCCUGGGGACUCUGUGACGGCCUCUGUUGCCCUGUGAUCUGCAGGUCCGGAGAGACGCACAGCUAAGAUGUCAGGACAUCCUGGAAGCUGGGAAAGGGUCUUGCCAUCUCUAAGCUGGACCUGGUGACCUUUUUGGAGGGAAAGAAAGAGCCCUGGACUGUGAAGAGUGAGGAGACCAUAGCUGCACAGCCAGAGAUGGGGUUCCAUCAUGUUUUCCAGGCUGAUCUCAAACUCCCACGGUCAAGCGAUCUGCUGGCCUCGGCCUCUCAAGUCCAGAUGUAUAAUCUCAUCCCUGAACAUUUCUGAUGGUGUGAUUAUGACAUGUGACUUUAUCUGGCAACAGAGUGAGUUGUUGCUCCCGCCUGAGCCCAGCCCCCAGAAAGGAUUGUGACAUAUCGUUGGACCCAGAAUUGAGAAGGCAUUGAGACAUGGCUGGGCUCAGCACUAAGAAGAUGUGAGUCCUCUGCCUGAAGCCUGACCACAGGGAGCAUUGUGACACAUUUCUUGACCCAUUACAAUCUCUUCUACGGGCAAAGCUGAGAUGGAGUUUUGCUCCUUUUGCCCAGGCUGGAUUGCAAUGGUGCAAUCUCAGCUCACCACAACCUUCAUCUCCCAGGUUCAAGCAAUUCUUCAGCCUCAGCCCCCUGAGUAUCUGGGAUUACAGGUGGAAUUGUGACAUAUAACUUGGCCAAGCACACAGAUGUAAUGGUGUGGUGACUCUCAUACCUAGAACUGGGACCUGUGCAGGAUUGUUAAUUCAUUACUGGACAUUCCUGUGGGUGUGAUUGUUACAUAUGCCUAUGUUCAGCACCCGAGUGAUUUGAUUUUGCUGCCUGGUCUCAGUCCAAAUGUAAGAUUGUGAUUUAUCGCUGAAUCCAGCACCUCGGUGAUUUGACUCUCCCUUUUUUUGUGGGAGGGAUCCUGCAAAUUUUGGGUAUUGUCAAUUAUUGCUGAAUCCUGUACCCAUGUUAUGACUCUCCCAAAUGUGCCUUACCUGUUGUGGCACAAUAUAUCACAUUAGACAUUGUUAAAUAUUGUUGGGUU
rnacentral:lncRNA from 1 species